GAGAUAAAGCAACAAGAUCGGCCUGUGUGUUUGCAAGACUUUGCUGGAGAGACUGGAGAAGGUGCUCGAUCAGUAAAUAUUGAAGGAAUGAACAAAAAUAAAAGGUGAACUGAAUAUAAGAACCAGAAGAAAUCACACUGAUUUUCUGACUUCAUCUGAUACCAUUCUAAAUUUCUCUAACCUCAGAUUACUCAACCAUUAAAGAAUGAAUAAUUACACUUAUGAAUUCCCUAUGUCACUUACAAUAUCUCUAUAUAAUCUUGAGCUUCUCUACAAUAGUCAUGUGUUCAACAGAUGUUUACUGAAUGCCUAUUAGAUGAAUAUAAGUGCUUACUAUAGUGAAAUGAUGUUUGAAAAAAAAUAACCUAAGAAAUAAAGGCAUUUUUUAAUAGUU